UAAUCACCGAGCCUGAGGUGAAUAAUUGUUUUAGUAUAAUUUCGUAGGUGAUUAUUUAGAAAAAAAUAAAAAAUACAGAUUUCUUCGUCAUUUAAUUGACAAAACGGCUUCGGCCGCCAUUUUGAAAAUCGCUUAGGUGAUUAUCGCGUAAUAAUCACCUCAACGGCAACCAAUCAGCGUGGAGAAUUUUCAAUAAUCACCUAUGUAAUUAUACUAAAUAUAUAUAU